UACGUGCGAGGCAAGCGUUAUUCGGAUUUACUGGGCUUAAAGAGUUCGUAGGCGGCGCAGAAAGUAGGGUGUGAAAGCCCUCGGCUCAACCGAGGAAUUGCGCCUUAAACUACUGUGCUAGAGGAAGCUAGAGGUGAGCAGAACUGAUGGUGGAGCGGUGAAAUGCGUUGAUAUCAUCAGGAAUACCGGAGGCGAAGGCGGCUCACUGGGGCUUUUCUGACGCUGAGGAACGAAAGCCAGGGUAGCGAACGGG
rnacentral:rRNA from 1 species